rnacentral:rRNA from 1 species
GCGAAAAAACCUUACACACAGUGUUUUUUGUUAUUACAAGAACUUUUGCUUUGGUCUGGACUAGAAAUAGUUUGGGCCAGAGGUUUACUGAACUAAACUUCAAUAUUUAUAUUGAAUUGUUAUUUAUUUAAUUGUCAAUUUGUUGAUUAAAUUCAAAAAAUCUUCAAAACUUUCAACAACGGAUCUCUUGGUUCUCGCAUCGAUGAAGAACGCAGCGAAAUGCGAUAAGUAAUAUGAAUUGCAGAUUUUCGUGAAUCAUCGAAUCUUUGAACGCACAUUGCGCCCUCUGGUAUUCCAGAGGGCAUGCCUGUUUGAGCGUCAUUUCUCUCUCAAACCUUCGGGUUUGGUAUUGAGUGAUACUCUUAGUCGAACUAGGCGUUUGCUUGAAAUGUAUUGGCAUGAGUGGUACUGGAUAGUGCUAUAUGACUUUCAAUGUAUUAGGUUUAUCCAACUCGUUGAAUAGUUUAAUGGUAUAUUUCUCGGUAUUCUAGGCUCGGCCUUACAAUAUAACAAACAAGUUUGACCUCAAAUCAGGUAGGAUUACCCGCUGAACUUUAAGCAUAUCAAUAAGCGGAGGAAAAGAAACCAACAGGGAUUGCCUUAGUAACGGCGAGUGAAGCGGCAAAAGCUCAAAUUUGAAAUCUGGC